AACAUGCCAGCUGGCCCUAUAAGCUCUCAAAUAAAAUACAACUAGCAUCCAUGCUUAAGCGGCUGAGGGUGAAAAGGAAAGGGCCUGAGGCUGUUAGGAAUGCUGGGAGUUGGAGUCCAAAACACCUGGAGGGCCCAAGUUUGCCCAUUGCUAUUUGCCUUGCAUUUGCAGAGAUUCUGCUUCAUAAAAGCAGAUGACUUGCUGCCACGCACAGUAUAGUACUUUUGAAGAAAAAUGAACAUUGCCACUAGGUGGGAGCACAAGAUCAGAAAUGAAUCCUAUGAUGAUUCUGUACAAGUUGGGCAGGCUUUUGCAAAGGUCGAUGCACAGAACCCGAGCAUCAGAUCUUCCUGCCUGUAUUUGAGCAAAACUUGCAUUAGACAAAUUCAAAGUUCGCAAAACUUAAAUUUCUAAAUGGCUUUGAAAAAACUGAGUGGUAUGUAGAAUGCAGUGGAUCCUGCCUGUUCUUAGCUUUAAGGUAGGAAAAGAGCAUAACUGAUGAAGGCACGUGUAGAUGAAGGUGGUUUGUGGUGGACUCAGAUCGGUAUCAGAAGGUCUCCUUCAGCCACGCCUGGUGGGUGUUGGAAGAGCUACACAAGGCAGAACAUCCUUCUCAGCUCAGCAGAAGGAAUGGCAUCUGCUCUGAAUGGCCACUUGAAGAUGAUCUCCAUAUUUUUCUUCCUCUUCGGUUUUGCCUUUAGCCAGGUUUUCCAACCCGACCAGCUCCUCUAUGUAGAAGGAGACAAGAUUGAGAUCAUCUGCAAUCAAAAUGCAACUAGCCAUGACGCUAUGUUCUGGUACAAGCAGACAUCCCAGUGGGAUGGUGGCCAACUCUCUUUCUUGGGAAGCGGUUUUGAAGAGGACUCUCUUCCAGCUGGAGAUUUCCUAAUAGAUGUCGUCAAAAAAUCUCGCCUCACCAAGCUGACCAGAGAGGGAGCAAGGCUGAGUGAUGCUGGUGUCUAUUUCUGCGCUGUGAGGGACACAGUGAAAGGAAACCAGGUGUUGUCAACACAAAAGCCAUUGUUAAGUUCGGCUCAGAGGCGUGAAUGGUGGAUAUACACCUGUUGUUCUUAUGAUCAAUGGUGCUUGUCAUUAUUUUUCUCCUCCUUUUCCAUGUGGCAAUACAGUCAUCUCUCCACAUCUGCUGGAGUUAGGACCUCCAGAAGGUGA
rnacentral:lncRNA from 1 species